rnacentral:rRNA from 1 species
AACGAACGCUGGCGGCAGGCCUAACACAUGCAAGUCGAACGAAGUCUUCGGACUUAGUGGCGCACGGGGGAGUAACACGUGGGAAUAUACCUUACGCUGGGGGAUAACAUCGGGAAACUGAUGCUAAUACCGCAUACGCCCUUCGGGGGAAAGAUUUAUCGGCGAAAGAUUAGCCCGCGUCCGAUUAGCUAGUUGGUGAGGUAAUGGCUCACCAAGGCUCCGAUCGGUAGCUGGUCUGAGAGGAUGACCAGCCACACUGGGACUGAGACACGGCCGAGACUCCUACGGGACGCAGCAGUGGGGCAUAUUGGACAAUGGGCGCAAGCCUGAUGCAGCCAUGCCGCGUGAGUGAUGAAGGCCUUAGGGUUGUAAAGCUCUUUCACCCACGACGAUGAUGACGGUAGUGGGAGAAGAAGCCCCGGCUAACUUCGUG